GCAUGUUUUGUUUUAUACUUCAAGAUUAAAAUAAAGUAAUUACAUUAUUGAAAGUCACAUUACAAUUUAAUUAACACCUUGAACAAAAACAAUAGCCUAAUAGAAAGUGCAAAUUGUAAUUGGCCUAUAAUAAGAGGAAACAACUAUUCCUGGAAAUGACUUUAAAAUGGGAGACAAACCCAUUAGUGUCAGAAGUUGCAUGUGGAUGGCAUUCAAACUAUUCUGGCAGUAGCUAAUCAGUUACUGGUGGAUACGGCCAUUGGCUUCAAUCACGGUGGGCUCACAUAGUCUGGGAGAGGAUAAGCAGUCUGAUGGAUGAGCGCAGUUUACUCACUUCCCAUGACUGUUUGGCGGCGGUCCCAGUGCGAACAAUUUGAACACAAGUACAGGCUUUCUUUCAAGGAGAGGAGAACAAAUGUAUCGUGCAAAACGUGUCGGAGAUUAUGAAGGAGGAUCCAAUAUGAAAUCUUUCAUGUCAUAUUUUGAGACAUGGCUGAAGGAUAGCCCUGGAUGAUGUUUUCCCAGGAGUCGAUGUUGAUGGCACAAAUUGCUGUUUGAAGAGGAUGAGGCUGAUUAUGGCUGAUGACUGCAGGCAGGACUACAGUGAGCUCAGUUGGGAGUUGCUGCUUCUGCUCAGAAGGCAGAGCCUGGCAGCUUGGACAGCAGUCGAUGAGGAUUAUCAUCGAUUUUGUUGAAGAUCAGCGGAUUGGAAGUGAGACAACGGUUUUAUCAGUUUUAUUAUUUUAUUUGUUUGCCUAUUUGUACGUACAUGAUUCAAUAAUCUUUGUAAAGGUUUAAACCCAAAGCUGCUUCCCUAUUGAAUUUGGAAAAUAUGAUAAUUUAGUCUAAAAUAAGGUUAUAUUCACUUUCAUUCAAUUAAGUCUUAGUAAUCUCAGUCCAAUUAUUUAUAUGAAUAUAUUUUCAGGAAAAAGGAUCAGAAUAUAAUUCCUCCGUUUUUAUAUAUGUUUAAAACAAUAUUUUUUAACAAAA